UUGAUCCUGGCUCAGGAUGAACGCUAGCGGCAGGCCUAAUACUUGCAAGUCGAACGGUAAGGUCUCUUCGGAGAUACACGAGUGGCGCACGGGUGCGUAACGCGUAUGCAACCUACCUUGAACUGGAAGAUAGCCCCGAGAAAUCGGGAUUAAUAUUCCAUAAUGUCCAUUUUUUGCAUAUGAGAUGGAUUAAAGUUACGGCGGUUCAAGAUGGGCAUGCGUGACAUUAGCUAGUUGGUGAGGUAACGGCUCACCAAGGCGACGAUGUCUAGGGGUCCUGAGAGGGUUUCCCCCCACACUGGUACUGAGACACGGACCAGACUCCUACGGGAGGCAGCAGUAAGGAAUAUUGGUCAAUGGACGCAAGUCUGAACCAGCCAUGCCGCGUGCAGGAUGACUGCCCUACGGGUUGUAAACUGCUUUUACGUGAGAAAAAACUCCCCGAUUCGUUCGGGGACUGAUGGUAUCACAUGAAUAAGCAUCGGCUAACUCCGUGCCAGCAGCCGCGGUAAUACGGAGGAUGCAAGCGUUAUCCGGAUUCAUUGGGUUUAAAGGGUGUGCAGGCGGAAUGAUAAGUCAGAGGUGAAAUCCCCCGGCUCAACCGGGGACCUGCCUUUGAUACUGUUGUUCUUGAGUAUAGUUGAAGUGGGCGGAAUGUGUCAUGUAGCGGUGAAAUGCAUAGAUAUGACACAGAACACCGAUAGCGAAGGCAGCUCACUAACCUAUAACUGACGCUCAUGCACGAAAGCGUGGGGAGCAAACAGGAUUAGAUACCCUGGUAGUCCACGCUGUAAACUAUGAUCACUAGUUGUUAGCGAUACACUGUUAGCGACUGAGGGAAACCGUUAAGUGAUCCACCUGGGGAGUACG
rnacentral:rRNA from 1 species